GACGAACGCUGGCGGCGUGGAUUAGGCAUGCAAGUCGAACGGUAUCAUCCUUCGGGGGUGAGAGAGUGGCGAACUGGUGAGUAACACGUAGGUUAUCUACCCUCAAGACGGGGACAACCCAGGGAAACUUGGGCUAAUACCGGAUGUGAGCAACUUUUAGUGUUUGAAAGGUGGCGUAAGCUGUCGCUUGGGGAUGAGCCUGCGUCCUAUUAGUUAGUUGGUGAGGUAACGGCUCACCUAGGCAAUGAUAGGUAGGCGGCCUUAACGGGUGGUCGCCCACACUGGGAUUGAGAUACGGCCCAGACUCCUACGGGAGGCAGCAGUCGAGAAUAGUCUACAAUGGUCGGAAGACUGAUAGUGCGACGCCGCGUGAACGAUGAAUCCCUUCGGGGUGUAAAGUUCUUUUAUAUGUGAGCAGUGCUUCUUAUAUUAACAGUAUGGGGAGAGAGAUAUUAGCAUAUGAAUAAGCAACGGCUAACUCCGUG
rnacentral:rRNA from 1 species